rnacentral:lncRNA from 1 species
ACCACUAUGACUGCACUGGGUCAGAGAUGAAGCCAACAUAGCUCUGUGUCUCACCCAAGGCCUGCUGUAACCACUCCCUGGACAGCAUUGAAUUCAGAGCCUCACAAUUGCUGUGUUCUACUUCGCCUAGCAACCAGAGAUGAUCCCUGCAACAUGCUGCUGUUGCUGGGAGUGGGAAAGAGGUGGCAUCGGCGGUUCAAGACUGAGUUUUCUAUCUCUUCAGUGCCUCUUUCAACAAUGAAGAUCAAACCAGGUUUUGUGCAAAUAUCUGCUGAGUGAACUACUUAUUUGAAAAUACAUCAUUGGUUAAUAUUCCCUUUUGCUCAUUGAAAUCUCAAAGACUACAGACCCCGCACAAGACAUUCUGACAUUCCCGUCUUUGAAAUGAAUGACAGCAAUGAUAAAUAUGGCUCACCUCCAGAGAUACAGAUCUCACAACUUCAUAUUUUUAAUAUAAAUUAUUAAUCUGAGGUGUGGUGCAAUUCCAUUAGAUGAAAGAGAUCUACACAUUCAGAAGCACAUGAUUCUUCCCCCUUCCAUGAUUCCAGUGGCCAAUAGACAAACUACAAUAAAGCCAUGCCCUGACUGGAUGUGCCUAACAUUUGUCUGGUGCUUAAAGGAGUUGGCUGCAUGCGUGGGAUGGAGAAGGAUUCAACAUUUAAUGGCAGUUAGAAUCAAAUUUUUAACUCAAGAAGGCAGAAGGAAUCCACCUAAAUAAAUGUUGGAAAGUCACCAAAAAUAGUUCUCCAAGUCAGAAGCGGUGCAAAAGCUGCCUCAGCUCUUGGUGGAUUUUCAAUUUCUCCCAGCCAUCUCUGUUUCGCUAAAGGUUUCUGAAGACAGUGGGUAUGUGGCAAACUUCUGCAAUUCUAUAUUAAGAUAAACUGUUAGAUCAAU